UGGGGAAUCUUGCACAAUGGGCGAAAGCCUGAUGCAGCGACGCCGCGUGCGGGAUGAAGGCCUUCGGGUUGUAAACCGCUUUCAGCAGGGACGAGGCCGCAAGGUGACGGUACCUGCAGAAGAAGCCCCGGCUAACUACGUGCCAGCAGCCGCGGUAAUACGUAGGGGGCUAGCGUUAUCCGGAUUUACUGGGCGUAAAGGGUGCGUAGGUGGUCUUUCAAGUCGGUGGUUAAAGGCUACGGCUCAACCGUAGUUAGCCUCCGAAACUGGAAGACUUGAGUGCAGGAGAGGAAAGUGGAAUUCCCAGUGUAGCGGUGAAAUGCGUAGAUAUUGGGAGGAACACCAGUAGCGAAGGCGGCUUUCUGGACUGCAACUGACACUGAGGCACGAAAGCGUGGGUAGCAAACAGG
rnacentral:rRNA from 1 species